rnacentral:sRNA from 1 species
AAGCUCCGACAGCAUCAAUUGGGAUUUGAUGGUCGCAAAUACCUGUUUACUGUCUCCGCUUACGCGUCGCCAGUAAACUUAAUUUGCGACCAUCAAAUCCCCAAUUGAUGCCAUCGGAGCUU